rnacentral:rRNA from 1 species
GACGAACGCUGGCGGCGUGCCUAAUACAUGCAAGUCGAGCGGACUGAGUAAGAGCUUGCUCUUAUGACGUUAGCGGCGGACGGGUGAGUAACACGUGAGCAACCUGCCCUGUAGAUCGGGAUAACACCGAGAAAUCGGUGCUAAUACCGGGUAAUAUCUGAGAUCACAUGAUCUUAGGUUAAAAGAUGGCUCCGGCUAUCACUACAGGAUGGGCCCGCGGCGCAUUAGCUAGUUGGUAAGGUAAUGGCUCAGCAAGGCGACGAGGCGUAGCCGACCUGGGAGGGUGAUCGGCCAGACUGGGGCUGAGACACGGCCCAGACUCCUACGGGGGGCAGCAGUAGGGAAUCUUCCGCAAUGGACGAAAGUCUGACGGAGCAACGCCGCGUGAGUGAUGAAGGGUUUCGGCUCGUAAAGCUCUGUUGUUAGGGAAGAACAAGUACCGUUCGAAUAGGGCGGUACCUUGACGGUACCUAACCAGAAAGCCACGGCUAACUACGUGCCAGCCGCCGCAGUAA